AAAUUGAAGAGUUUGAUCA
rnacentral:rRNA from 1 species